rnacentral:rRNA from 1 species
UACGUAGGGGGCAAGCGUUGUCCGGAAUGAUUGGGCGUAAAGCGUCCGCAGGUGGCUGUGUAAGUCUGCUGUCAAAGAGCGAAGCUCAACUUCGUAAAGGCAGUGGAAACUACACGGCUAGAGUGCGUUCGGGGCAGAGGGAAUUCCUGGUGUAGCGGUGAAAUGCGUAGAGAUCAGGAAGAACACCGGUGGCGAAGGCGCUCUGCUAGGCCGCAACUGACACUGAGGGACGAAAGCUAGGGGAGCGAAUGGG